rnacentral:rRNA from 1 species
AGAGUUUGAUCAUGGCUCAGGACGAACGCUGGCGGCGUGCCUAACCCAUGCAAGUCGAACGGAAUUAGCUCAAAUGAGACUUCGGUUGAAGGAGAGCUAAGAUAGUGGCGGACGGGUGAGUAACGCGUGAACAACCUGCCUUUUACAGGGGGAUAACACAUGGAAACGUGUGCUAAUACCGCAUAAGACCACAGUGCCGCAUGGCACAGGGGUCAAAGGAGCAAUCCGGUAGAAGAGGGGUUCGCGUCCCAUUAGCUAGUUGGUAGGGUAACGGCCUACCAAGGCAACGAUGGGUAUCCGAGCUGAGAGGCUGAACGGACACACUGGGACUGAGAUACGGCCCAGACUCCUACGGGAGGCAGCAGGGAGGAAUAUUGGUCAAUGGGGGAAACCCUGAACCAGCAACGCCGCGUGAAGGAAGAAGGCCCUCGGGUUGUAAACUUCUGUUUCCAGGGAAGAAAGAAAUGACGGUACCUGAAGAGGAAGCUCCGGCAAACUACGUGCCAGCAGCCGCGGUAAUACGUAGGGAGCGAGCGUUGUCCGGAAUCACUGGGCGUAAAGGGCGCGUAGGCGGCAUUGCAAGUUGCAUGUGAAAUACCAUGGCUCAACCAUGGGGUGUCAUGCAAAACUGUAAAGCUUGAGUGCAGUAGAGGAAAGCGGAAUUCCUGGUGUAGCGGUAAAAUGCGUAGAGAUCAGGAGGAACACCGGUGGCGAAGGCGGCUUUCUGGGCUGUAACUGACGCUGAGGCGCGAAAGCGUGGGGAGCGAACAGGAUUAGAUACCCUG